AGUGAACGCUGGCGGUAGGCCUAACACAUGCAAGUCGAACGGCAGCACAGUAAGAGCUUGCUCUUACGGGUGGCGAGUGGCAGACGGGUGAGGAAUACAUCGGAAUCUACUUUUUCGUGGGGGAUAACGUAGGGAAACUUACGCUAAUACCGCAUACGACCUACGGGUGAAAGCAGGGGAUCUUCGGACCUUGCGCGAUUGAAUGAGCCGAUGUCGGAUUAGCUAGUUGGCGGGGUAAAGGCCCACCAAGGCGACGAUCCGUAGCUGGUCUGAGAGGAUGAUCAGCCACACUGGAACUGAGACACGGUCCAGACUCCUACGGGAGGCAGCAGUGGGGAAUAUUGGACAAUGGGCGCAAGCCUGAUCCAGCCAUACCGCGUGGGUGAAAAAGGCCUUCGGGUUGUAAAGCCCUUUUGUUGGGAAAGAAAAGCAGCAGGUUAAUACCCCGCUGUUCUGACGGUACCCAAAGAAUAAGCACCGGCUAACUUCGUG
rnacentral:rRNA from 1 species